GGGAGCAGUGAGGUCUGGGAGAUCACGACCUUAAUUCUCUCUAAGACAGACAGUUUAAUUAACACUGGAGGAAUCCUCACCGGCUCCAGACCUCUGCGAUGGGAAUGUUCAGGGGAAUUGGAUUGCCAAGACUCCACCAUAGGAAAUAAGGAGCAAAGGUGAAGAGCUACUAAAUAUACUGAACAGGAAGAUACGAAACUGUUCAAAGUUGACAGUCCUCUCUGCCGUUUAGUAGACUGUGAAGCUGACAGACGAUGCCCAUGAAUGAUGAAUGAUGACUGGAGGUCUGUCUGAUGCCAACAGAAUGCAUAAUACAGCAUGGAUACAGCGAUUCCAGUCCUUCCCAGCAGAAACAUAGCACGGUUACCGCAUCACCGGCAGAUCUACCCCUCAGCGGAAAAGUGCCUAUGUUUGACAUUACAUUCAGGUGUGGCAGAGGGAAAGAUCGGGUCCCGUCUAGACAGGACUGUUGGGAUGUGGAAAGUGACCUAUAUGGAAAUGGUGAAGAAAGCUGAAGAGGACAACGGCUUGGUGGAAAAAAAGAAAAGGGAAGUUAGAACAUUUGCCUUUUGCUACGUACGUAUCAUGAAUAUGUCUCACAUAUAGAAUCUAAUCUCCAUUGUCAACUUAUUCCUCUGCAGCUCAAAUGUUUUAUUUUCAGCGUACAGCAAUAAAAUCACAACAGCUAUAUAAAGUUUUAUGAUGUUUUUCAACUUGUUUUUAUGUUAUUUGGUGUU